GCCGGAAGUGGCGGUGAUGUAUACUCCUGUAAUCCAACUACUCGAAGGUUAGGUGUAGAGGAUGUUUUAAGGGAGCGGGGGUUGUGGGAUUGGAUUUUCCACGUUGACUAGGCAUCCGCUAGGGGUUAAGCUUCAACUUGGAUGCCUUGGGGGAGCUCGAGGUAGUCCAAAAGUCAUCGAGUUGAGAGUCGUGGGUUCAAAUCCUGGGAGUGGGAGUUUAAUUUUAGCUCAUUCAAACAACAGGCCUGUACCUAC
rnacentral:SRP_RNA from 1 species